CAGUAGCCGCGGUAAUACGUAGGUGGCAAGCGUUGUCCGGAAUUAUUGGGCGUAAAGGGCUCGCAGGCGGUUUCUUAAGUCUGAUGUGAAAGCCCCCGGCUCAACCGGGGAGGGUCAUUGGAAACUGGGAAACUUGAGUGCGGAAGAGGAGAGUGGAAUUCCACGUGUAGCGGUGAAAUGCGUAGAGAUGUGGAGGAACACCAGUGGCGAAGGCGACUCUCUGGUCUGUAACUGACGCUGAGGAGCGAAAGCGUGGGGAGCGAACAGGAUUAGAUACCCGAGUAGUCCCUGUCUCUUAUAC
rnacentral:rRNA from 1 species